rnacentral:tRNA from 1 species
AGAAAGAUGCCUGAUUAAAGGAUUAUUCUGAUAGAAUAAAAUAAGUGAAUAAAAACACUCUUUCCA